rnacentral:rRNA from 1 species
UGGGGAAUAUUGCACAAUGGAGGGAACUCUGAUGCAGCGACGCCGCGUGAACGAAGAAGGCUUUCGAGUCGUAAAGUUCUUUUAUAUGGGAAGAUAAUGACGGUACCAUAAGAAAAAGCACCGGCUAACUACGUGCCAGCAGCCGCGGUAAUACGUAGGGGGCUAGCGUUGUCCGGAAUCACUGGGCGUAAAGGGUUCGCAGGCGGAAAUGCAAGUCAGGUGUAAAAGGCAGUAGCUUAACUACUGUAAGCAUUUGAAACUGCAUAUCUUGAGAAGAGUAGAGGUAAGUGGAAAUUUGAGUGUAGCGGUGAAAUGCGUAGAUAUUAAAAAGAAUACCGGUGGCGAAGGCGACUUACUGGGCUCAUUCUGACGCUGAGGAACGAAAGCGUGGGUAGCAAACAGG